rnacentral:rRNA from 1 species
CCUACGGGUGACAGCAGUGAGGAAUAUUGGUCAAUGGGCGCGAGCCUGAACCAGCCAAGCAGCGUGAAGGAUGACUGCCCUACGGGUUGUAAACUCUUUUUAUAAAGGAAUAAAGUGAGGCACGUGUGCCUUUUUGUAUGUACUUUAUGAAUAAGGAUCGGCUAACUCCGUGCCAGCAGCCGCGGUAAUACGGAGGAUCCGAGCGUUAUCCGGAUUUAUUGGGUUUAAAGGGAGCGUAGAUGGGUUGUUGAGUCAGUUGUGAAAGUUUGCGGCUCAACCGUAAAAUUGCAAUUGAUACUGGCAGCCUUGAGUACAGUAGAGGUAGGCAGAAUUCGUGGUGUAGCGGUGAAAUGCUUAGAUAUGACGAAGAACACCGGUUGCGAAGGCAGCUUACUAGACUGCCACUGACGUUGAUGCGCGAAAGUGUGGGUAUCAAACAGGAUUAGAUACCCGUGUAGUC